rnacentral:rRNA from 1 species
CAGUCGAGCGAACAGAUAAGGAGCUUGCUCCUUUGACGUUAGCGGCGGACGGUGAGUAACACGUGGGUAACCUACCUAUAAGACUGGGAUAACUUCGGGAAACCGGAGCUAAUACCGGAUAACAUUUGGAACCGCAUGGUUCUAAAGUGAAAGAUGGUUUUGCUAUCACUUAUAGAUGGACCCGCGCCGUAUUAGCUAGUUGGUAAGGUAACGGCUUACCAAGGCGACGAUACGUAGCCGACCUGAGAGGGUGAUCGGCCACACUGGAACUGAGACACGGUCCAGACUCCUACGGGAGGCAGCAGUAGGGAAUCUUCCGCAAUGGGCGAAAGCCUGACGGAGCAACGCCGCGUGAGUGAUGAAGGGUUUCGGCUCGUAAAACUCUGUUAUUAGGGAAGAACAAAUGUGUAAGUAACUGUGCACGUCUUGACGGUACCUAAUCAGAAAGCCACGGCUAACUACGUGCCAGCAGCCGCGGUAAUACGUAGGUGGCAAGCGUUAUCCGGAAUUAUUGGGCGUAAAGCGCGCGUAGGCGGUUUCUUAAGUCUGAUGUGAAAGCCCACGGCUCAACCGUGGAGGGUCAUUGGAAACUGGGAAACUUGAGUGCAGAAGAGGAAAGUGGAAUUCCAUGUGUAGCGGUGAAAUGCGCAGAGAUAUGGAGGAACACCAGUGGCGAAGGCGACUUUCUGGUCUGUAACUGACGCUGAUGUGC